UACAGAGGGGGCAAGCGUUGUUCGGAAUUACUGGGCGUAAAGGGCGCGUAGGCGGCCUUCUAAGUCAGACGUGAAAUCCCUCGGCUCAACCGGGGAACUGCGUCUGAGACUGGAAGGCUUGAAUCCGGGAGAGGGAUGUGGAAUUCCUGGUGUAGCGGUGAAAUGCGCAGAUAUCAGGAGGAACACCAAUGGCGAAGGCAGCACUCUGGGACGUGACUGACGCUGAGACGCGAAAGCGUGGGGAGCAAACAGG
rnacentral:rRNA from 1 species